CUUGCUGGCCGAGCAGCCGCGGGGGAGACCGGGGAGAAAACCGGUCCCCUCGAGGAAAGUCCGGACACCGCAGGGCAGGGUGGUCGGGAAACCGACCCGGGGAAACCCGCGGGAAAGUGCCACAGAAACGACACCGCCUAAGCGGCGGGACCGCACGUGAGUCUCGCCGCCGGCAAGGGUGAAAUGGUGCGGUAAGAGCGCACCGGCAGCGUGGUGACACGCUGGCCGGGCAAACCCCACCCGGUGCAAGGCCAAGCAGGGGCGAUGACGCUGCCCGCCGAGCCCCAGGUAGGCCGCAGGGCUCCUCGGAGCCCCGUCCGCGGUGGUCCCCAGGGAUCGGCGCGGGCGAGAUGGAUGGCUGCUCUCGACAGAAUCCGGCUUACAGGCCAGCUACGGGA
rnacentral:RNase_P_RNA from 1 species